AGCGAACGCUGGCGGCAGGCCUAACACAUGCAAGUCGAACGAACUCUUCGGAGUUAGUGGCGGACGGGUGAGUAACACGUGGGAACGUGCCUUUAGGUUCGGAAUAACUCAGGGAAACUUGUGCUAAUACCGAAUGUGCCCUUCGGGGGAAAGAUUUAUCGCCUUUAGAGCGGCCCGCGUCUGAUUAGCUAGUUGGUGAGGUAAAGGCUCACCAAGGCGACGAUCAGUAGCUGGUCUGAGAGGAUGAUCAGCCACAUUGGGACUGAGACACGGCCCAAACUCCUACGGGAGGCAGCAGUGGGGAAUUUUGCGCAAUGGGCGAAGGCCUGACGCAGCCAUGCCGCGUGAAUGAUGAAGGUCUUAGGAUUGUAAAAUUCUUUCACCGGGGACGAUAAUGACGGUACCCGGAGAAGAAGCCCCGGCUAACUUCGUGCCAGCCGCCACCGUAAAAC
rnacentral:rRNA from 1 species